rnacentral:rRNA from 1 species
GAUGAACGCUGGCGGCGUGCUUAACACAUGCAAGUCGAACGAUGAAGCCCAGCUUGCUGGGUGGAUUAGUGGCGAACGGGUGAGUAACACGUGAGUAACCUGCCCUUAACUCUGGGAUAAGCCUGGGAAACUGGGUCUAAUACCGGAUAGGAGCGUCCACCGCAUGGUGGGUGUUGGAAAGAUUUAUCGGUUUUGGAUGGACUCGAGGCCUAUCAGCUUGUUGGUGAGGUAAUGGCUCACCAAGGCGACGACGGGUAGCCGGCCUGAGAGGGUGACCGGCCACACUGGGACUGAGACACGGCCCAGACUCCUACGGGAGGCAGCAGUGGGGAAUAUUGCACAAUGGGCGCAAGCCUGAUGCAGCGACGCCGCGUGAGGGAUGACGGCCUUCGGGUUGUAAACCUCUUUCAGUAGGGAAGAAGCGAAAGUGACGGUACCUGCAGAAGAAGCACCGGCUAACUACGUG